GCUUCUUCGGCCCCUCUGUUCCAGCGGCCGCCCAUGUCCAUCCGUCCUUCGCCGUCGCCGCCGGUGGUCUCCGGUGGCGGCGGGGGACGCCGGCCUCUUAGAUCGCCACUCUCAUCCAGCUGCCCCUGCGUUUUCCUCAACUGGUGCGGAUCUGGAUGUCAGGAAUCCGGUAGUCUAGUCUGGGGAUUCGUGAUUGGAGCCAUGGAAUUUCUAUCAUCUGUAGCAGUGGGACUAGUGUCUAGUGUGGUUACUGCUACCACAGCUUCUUAUUCAGCUGAAUUUUAUUUUCUUUAUAGAAGCAUCAAUCAUGUUCAGUUUUGUGUGAGAUAAUUGUAAACAGAGCCAAGGGUUAUAUCAGAGUUAUGUCGUGACUGCGUAGCUGUAGGCUAGUAGCCAUGCCAAUUACAGAUUGGCUGAAUGAAUUCAUGAACAUUGGUUUGA